rnacentral:rRNA from 1 species
GACGAACGCUGGCGGCAUGCCUAAUACAUGCAAGUCGAGCGAGCAGAUGAAGUGCUUGCACUUCUGACGUUAGCGGCGAACGGGUGAGUAACACGUAAGGAAUCUACCUAUAAGCGGGGGAUAACAUUCGGAAACGGAUGCUAAUACCGCAUAAUAUCUUCUUCCGCAUGGAAGAAGAUUGAAAGACGGCUCUGCUGUCACUUAUAGAUGACCUUGCGGUGCAUUAGUUAGUUGGUGGGGUAACGGCCUACCAAGACGAUGAUGCAUAGCCGACCUGAGAGGGUGAUCGGCCACAUUGGGACUGAGACACGGCCCAAACUCCUACGGGAGGCAGCAGUAGAGAAUCUUCCGCAAUGGGCGAAAGCCUGACGGAGCAAUGCCGCGUGAGUGAAGAAGGCCUUCGGGUCGUAAAACUCUGUUAUAAGAGAAGAACAAAUUGUAGAGUAACUGCUACAGUCUUGACGGUAUCUUAUCAGAAAGCCACGGCUAACUACGUGCCAGCAGCCGCAGUAA